AGGAGGCGGUACCGGGAGGUGGCUCCGCUCCGCCUCGCGGAGGCGGCCCCGGGGCGGGGCGGAGCGGGUGCGUUAACGCCCGGCCCGAGCGCCGCCGCCGGCCACGGGCUGGGCUGGGCUAGGCUGGGCUGGGCUUCACCGCGCUCGCAGCCGCUGCCCGUACGGAUUUUUAGGUGACUUCUUGCAGGAUUUUAGUGGGAACCUCCAAUUCUCACUGGCGAGCCCGCGUUUUCCGCGCCCUCAAGUUAUUAAAGAAGCUUUUCCGUCUUGAAGUUUGUACUUCAGGGCUCUGGAUCAUGUGAUGGCAUCAGGAUGCACAAGUCAGGAGGGCAAGGAAUGGGAGGUGCUCCCACUGCAAAGAUCCUCCUCACCUCUAGCCUGGCAUCGCUGAGGGCAGUACCACUACUCCCUUAGGGAAAGCUUUGGGAGAAGCAGCUCUAAGCUAGGUAAGUAUUGCUAGAGUACACUUCAAGGGUGUUUUUAGAAUGUAUCACAAGAAGUGACUGGUUGCCUUAAACAUUUCAGCCCUAAAGAGGAGCAGAGAAAAGCUAAUGUAACCGAACAUAACAAACGCCAACAAAAUUAAACAGCAAAGAGUCAGGUAGACUACUGCAUGUUUAUUGAUAUAACAGCAUUUUCUUUUUGAAAACCAACUGUUACUUAAGUUAAACCUGAUCAAAGUACAUCAGUCUUGGUGGAGUUUAAGACAAUUCACACAGGCGCUUUUGGUGAGGAGUCCAUAUUCCAGCUCUAGGGCAGGAACUCGAAGCCAUGGUCCCCACCUCUGCUCAGCUUAUCCUCGAGUGUUCACCUGCAGGGAGGACACAGAGUCAGGCAGAAGAAAUCACAGGAUAUAUCACAAUUCCUUCUUUGUUUAAAGAUCCUGGGCUUUUAGGGACUAAUUCCUUGCUUUAUGGUGCAGUAUUUAUAAUUCAUUUGCAGUUAUUAAAAAGCUGAAGGGUCUUAAGCAGCACAGAACUGAGAACACUCUACACAGUAACUGCAUUUUUCAAGCACAGCAAAUGAACGACAACAUGCUGAUGCUUGUGAAGGAGGGAAAACCCAAACCACAACACCAACACCACUCACCACAUCAUCAAUCUUGAGAAUGCUGCGCACGGUUUCUGUGGCGAGGGUCAGUGCACUCAAAGACACCAGCAGAGGCUGCACAACCAGCUCCUCCAGGAUGUUGGAAAUGCCACCCUAGGGGAACAAGGAACUUUCACUUUGUGCAAGACACACUACAGUCACAUGUAGCAGUUUUUCUUUUAGCAGAAUCCUGAGGGCAGUCAACUCCUGGACUAUCACAAGGCUUUCAACUGCAACAGGGGCAUUACAGCACACAUCUCUCCCCAAGCACUUGACAUAUCCAGUCAAAAUUAGCCAACAAUAAAGGUCAGCACUGCCAACUGAGAAAAAGCUGUGGUGCUACUCUCAACUCACGACCACCUUCCAUUGUAGAUCCUACCGAUGGAUCAUGCUAAAUGGAUCUUUUGUUGUAGCUGAAUCGCUUUUGUGGAGACAUGAAACAUUUCCUGUUGCAUGCAUCAAACUUUUAAUAUCUGCUAUUAUCAAUGCUCAGGGUGAGCUCCUGAGAGAACAAGCUGUAAUUUCCCUCUAAUUUUAGGGAGGCUACCAGCUUGCCCUCUCCUUAGUCCAACCCUAAGGAGGUUAAGCAUUUCCCCAGUAACACCCAGGUAUUACAACCCCUCAUUACCUUCCUGACAUUAAUGCCAGCUGUUUUCUCUCCUUGGGCAUGUCUGUUUCUGAGCUCUGUCACCGUGGAGAUGGGAUUGAGCCCUGCAUUCUCAGCCAGGGUGGAGGGAAUGACCUCAAGCGCGUCCCCAUAGGCACGGACACAGUA